UUCGAUGAUGUAUCUUUCUAUCAAUGGAUUACUUAAUCUUAGUGUAAUUUUGUAUAAUCUAGAUAUUGUAUUAUCGUUGUCUUUGCUUUUAAGAACUGUGCAAUUAUAUAUAAAAUAUUUUCAAGAGCAAUAAUAAAUUUCCGCCUGCACGGAUUUUCAACGGUGAGUAAAUAUCUGUUCAUCAUUUAUGUAUUUACUUUAUAUGUGUAUGUGUAGAAGUUCCAUUUAAACGUGUAAACACGUCAGUACAAUGCUAUGAUAACUGACUUCAAAUAACAGUUGCAAAAUAUAAAUUUUACUCUACUGCAGUAGUACAACAUAACAAACCACUUUGUAUGACAUUAAAUUCCAUUGUUUACAUGUGCUAGUUUGUAUAAAAACGAAAACAAUUCAGCAUAAAAUGAAUGCGUUCGACACGCUUUUCUUGAUAUACUUUUUUUAGCAAAGUUUAAUGCCGAAUGAUUGAAAGCACGAUAUAUAUACAAAUCGAUAUUGAUUAGGAAUAACAUUUCGAAGUUAAAACCGAAGUUUCAUUGUGAUUUAUUAAUUUUUAAACGGACAAUCUUAGAAAAAGUUUGCUAUAAAUCAUACCAAACAACUAACUAAUGAGACCUUUAAGAACUGAUAUUACUAUUAAAAAUGGAAACAAUACUGUUACUCGUGUAACAGGUUUGACGGAUUAACUGUUAUCAAGAUCACUGAAUGCUGAAUAUUCGAGUUUUUUUUUCUUUUUAUUUCUGUUAACUGGAAAUUGAACAAUAAAGUUGCAAACAGAUUAUAAUAGGGUUUGUAAGCGAUGAAGUAAACAUUAUAAAAAAGAAGAUGUAGUAUGAGUACCGAUUAAACAAUUAUGAGGAACCGUACGGCCUUUAACAAUGAUAAUAACACAUACCGUAUGGCUAUAAAAUUCCCCGACAUGUAAAAGAUGACACAAUCAAUUGAGAAAAAUAACAGAAUAAUUUGUAACAAAACUUGUUGCCACAAAAACAACAUGAUAGACAUGCAUGUUCAUAUUAAAGUUAUUUGUACACUCAACAAUGUUAUUACUCAUCUAAAACAGUUCUGUUGAAUAUGCCCACGUAUGUUGCAGAUUUGGUUUAUCUUGAACUUAUACUUUUAUACAUAUCUUUUAAAGUAUUGGAGAAACUUUAAUUUGUCAUACAGCCAGGAAUCACCUUUAAAUUGUAGCCAUCAAAAGACAAAGAGUUCAACAAGAUUUCUAGGCAUUUUACAAGUCAUAUGAUACAAAUUAAAAUGUCAACUUAACAGUUCAAAUACAUGUCUAAUAUUUUGACUUUUCUUUAUUCGGAAUUCCUCUCCUUACUAUGAAUUCAAAUGGAAUAUAGACGUUCAAUGAGUUCACAAUCUAGUAUUAUGUCGCUCGUAAAUAAAAAUGUCAAUCCAAAAACUCCAAUGAUAGUCUGAGAAUACAAAUAUCUUUAUAUAUAUAUGAUUGUCACUAAAGAAGGAAUAUUCAUAGAAAACUGUCCAAGGGAAACUCUAGAAUAAGGCAGAAGUUUAAACUACCAAUAGUAUAUUAUGAUCAUUAUGAGAGUUACAACCCUAACGUAUUUAUGUGGUUGUUCCAAUGAUUUCUAAACUGCAAAAUCAUAACAUUAUUUUGUAAACAAUUAUAAAAAAUGUAAACACCUCAAUUAUGUAUCUCAUAAGGUCUCACAAUAAUUUGAAAAUAAUUUGGUCUGAAUAGCAGAAACAUUUUGAAAAUUUGCAGACACCUUAGUCAUGCAUUUUAGAAUAGUAAAAUGUAGAUGGAGGUUGACAAAUACCUUUAUAACGUCGAUCAUUUCCAAAAGAUGUCACACCGUGUGAUUGUGGCAAAAGACACAAUCGAUAUCGACAUUGUUCUCAUGUGAUAACUGUUUUGUCGUUUUCGCUUGCGUAUAAAUAUAGGUGUUUGCCUGUUUUGAUGGAAUCACACCCCUUUCAUCAUAUUUUGAUCAAUUUUCUGUUCCUGUCGAAAACGAUAUUGAUCAUGUUUAUGUUAUAGAAGUAUAGAUUCCAACAUUAGUGUAUUUAAUGUUUAUAUUGCAUGUUGUGAGUGUGCCUUUUUUAUUAUUAUAUUCAGAUAUUCAAACAAAAAUAAGUUUCUAACUCUCUGAAUUAAUAAUAGCCAUGGCAAGGCCAUCCAUUAAUUUUGUAAACCAUAUUGAAAUAAUCGUUAUAAACUUUAAAAAAAUUGUUUUGGUUUUACAGAAACAAAUGAGUGCCAAAACUAACAGGAACAGAUUGAAUUCAUACUCAAUGCAGUUACUCGCGCUGCAGACAUGUCAAUGUUCAAACAUCAAAUAUUUAAUGCAUAUUCUUAAGAUUGAUUAAUAUUACAAAUGUGACGAUUAUAAGCCAUGUUUUGUGUUAUUGAUAGGAUUCAUGUAAUUCAUUAAACAUACAUUUUGUUACUAAGAACAACAAGAUAUAAAUUGUUCGAGCAUCAA
rnacentral:lncRNA from 1 species